UACGAAGGGGGCUAGCGUUGUUCGGAAUUACUGGGCGUAAAGCGCACGUAGGCGGACAUUUUAAGUCAGGGGUGAAAUCCCAAGGCUCAACCUUGGAACUGCCUUUGAUACUGGGGAUCUUGAGUCCGGGAGAGGUGAGUGGAACUGCGAGUGUAGAGGUGAAAUUCGUAGAUAUUCGCAAGAACACCAGUGGCGAAGGCGGCUCACUGGCCCGGUACUGACGCUGAGGUGCGAAAGCGUGGGGAGCAAACAGG
rnacentral:rRNA from 1 species